ACCUGGCUGGUUUAGUUGGUAUAGCAUGCAACUCUUAAUCUCACAGUCAUGGGUUUGAGCCCCAUGUUGGGCA
rnacentral:tRNA from 1 species